CCCCCGCGGCGCGCCAUCUUUACUGCUGGCAGCUAGGCUUCUUGGCCCCACGCGUCCAAUCUUGCUGCUGGAGAGUUUGGGGUUUAUUUUUAACUGACUUACAUGAACGUAACCCCAUUUCCGAUGCUUGGCGCCUUUCUCAUCCUUUAAGUCUUGACUCGAAUGUCACUUUGCGAGGGAAGUUGUUCCUGAUCACGCUGACUAUGUUCCCUACCGGGAUAAACAGAAACCAGGCCUUUCAAAGAUGCCACCACUGAGUUCAACCAAAGGGGGAACUGCUGCCCCUCGCUUUGUAUGGUUUGUACACAGCUGAACAACAUUCCUUCCUAAUAUGCGACCACUGACCACGGAGCGGUUCUGGCCAUCUAUGGAAGAUGCACAGUGAGGGUUUUCCUGUCCUCUGCUUCACCUUUUGACAUCGGAGUCCUGAAAACUUCACCCUGAGAUCACACUUUCAGUGCCACCAUUUUUUCAACAUGGGACCCACAGAGAAGCAUGAGGCUCAAUUGCUCAUGUGCACCUUUCCCAUCUCAUAAAUAUUCAUAAAUGUAGCUUAUUGAAUAUAUGUAUAUUCUGCCACCCCAUUCAGCAUAAAUCCCUGUCUCUUCUAAGCUUCAAAGUGCCUGUUUCCAGCUUCUCGCCAGAGGCUACACUUCCAUGGCCCCCCUGAAGGCUGUAGCCCUUUUUGAAAAAUAAAGCUGUCCUUUCCAAAUUUA